ensembl:misc_RNA Metazoa_SRP Metazoan signal recognition particle RNA
GCUGGGUGCGUUGGCGCAUGCCUAUAUUCCCAGCUAUUCUGGAGGCUGAGUCUGGAGGAUCUCUUGAGUCCAGGAGUUCUAGGCUGUAGUGCGCUAUGCCAAUCGGGUGUCCGCACUAAGUUCGGCAUCAAUAUGGUGACCUCCCAGAGUGGGGGACCACCAGGUUGCCUAAGGACGGGUGAACUGCCUCAGGUCAGAAAUGGAGCAGGUCAACUCCCACGCUGAUCAGUAGUGGGAUCACACCUGUGAAUAGCCACUGCACUCCAGCCUGGGAAACAUAGUGAGACCCCAUCUCUU